rnacentral:tRNA from 1 species
AUUUAAGUAGUUUAAGAAAAAUUUAGAUUUGUGGAGUCUAGGAUGUAAGAGUUUACUUUAAAUA